rnacentral:ncRNA from 1 species
AAGAUGUAUGCUCAUGCUCGCUGUCGCCGCAGGGGAAUCCGGUGCGAAUCCGGAACUGUCCCGCAACGGUGUAUGUGUGCGCAUUUAAGCACUCACCAGUCCGAGGACCUGCCGACAGUACGUACGCCCC